CGUUUUAACGUGCCAACAAGGGUGUGCUCUCUCUCCCGCGCGCGCCCGCGCAUACACGUAUACUAGGGCUAUCAGUCACCGUAGUAAUGGCGACGAUUGAAGAGAAGUCAUCGAACAAGGAAGGGAACAACCUGCUGGCCACACCGACCUUCACGGAGCUCGUGAAUGGACGCUUCAAGUGCGUGGAGACUGGCCACGAAGUGCUCGCCAAAGACAGGGAAUCCUACUCUCAGUCCAAACGGUGUCGUUUGUGUCUCAUCGACUUCGCUAUCUCCCAAAAUAAACCUCCUCUCAACAUGUUCAAGCAAGAUCCUCUCUCCCGUUCAAAGUUGAUAUGUAAGCUAACAGGAGACACCAUAAAUAAGUGCGAGGAACAUAUAUGGAAGCACAUCAAUGGCAAACGAUUCCUCAACAAACUAGAGGAUAAGGAAGCAGAAAAGCUAACCUCAGAUGGAAAAUCAGAAGAGAAGAGUUGGCAGAAGCCCCAAAAAGCAUCAAAGCCAUCCACGGUUGGUAUAAUGAAGAAGAAGAAGAAGGAUAAAGACAAAGGAGUUGAUGAGAUUAUCUCUGUAGUCAGGAAUUUGUCUGAUGAGAGCACUGAUUCAGAAGAAGCUGAUUUCUGGAUGCCUCUUGUGGGAGAACACCGUGAUUUUGAUAAUGGAGGAGAUCGAUGGUGUUGCAGUUCAGAGUCGGGGCAGGAAAGCGACAAGGUUAAUGGAAUGGCUGAAGAAGGUGGCAAGGACACAGAAGAACUCUCUAUGUGGACAAAAAGAAUGUCCAUUGAAAUUGGACCUAGCAGUUUUGCCUCAAGGAAGAAAAGGUGCAAGAAGAAUCUGACAAAUUAAUAUGCUCAUCAUAAUUUACUGCUAGCAAUUUGUUGGAAAAUGAAGCUUUGAAGUUUCUCCUAUGUUUACAAAAAUCAAUGUUGGAACAACGAACAAUACACGGCAAAGGAUAUGCACUUAUGCCAGUCGAAUCUCGAACAGCAGCAGCAAAGACUCCCAGAUCAACCCCAUUCCUGCAUUGAAUCCCAUAAUCUCGUUGAAGAUCAGCCAGGUUGCUUUUGAUGCUGACACCAACAAAUGUUAUAUCUGAAAGAUCGAGAAACUUGGAAAGGGAAGUGGGUAGUUUCUCGAAGUGUGUAAGGUGUAUAAUAAGGCAAUCAUUUUCUACACCUAGCAUCAACACUACAACUCUUUCCUUGACCAUUCCGUAACUAGCUGAGCAGAAUGACUUCUCUAUAUCUAAAGCCACAACUCUCUCAGGGACAUUACCUCUCUCAUGCAGCUUUUCAUUAACCUUAGACAAGAGUAAUCUAAGGCUCUCUUCCAGCGCCAGCUCAUCGGUCACAACAGUCGUUUUGAACUUUCCUCUAAGGGCUUUGAAGUUAAAAGACCUUGACAUCUUCUAAAGUGAAAUGGAAGGAUAAACUAUUCUUCAUUCAAAUAAAGAAUAAGAAUGAUGAGCUACUGCAUUGGACUAGCAAGAGGUGGCUAUUUAUAUGCAACCUAGAUAUAUUGUAUGAACUCCUGCUAAAUUGCUCUGCCUCUUCGGUUGCAGCAAAGCUAGAAUUCCAAGAUGGGGUGUAGUGAUAUUGUCUUUGGGAAGCUACACCGGCUUUGACAACUACAUGGAAACUUGAAGAGGAAGACCGAGAGUCACCUCUUUUCCAGGUUUAAUUUCCGCCGCGUAACUUAGUACAUGGUUUUUUGUUUUUUUAUUCAAUUCUCAUCUCUUUAUUAACUUCUUUCUGAUAGUAACUCAACAAGCAAUAAUACGAUUAAAGUUGCACUUAAUUAAAAGAUACGAAUACACCUAAUUUUGGUAGGAAAAAAUGGGUAUCCAUGGUAUUACAGACAAAACAAAUUUCAUGAUUCCCGCACCCCACAACUUCAUUCUUCUUGGGGGUUGAGCCAGAUGAAACAGCCUUUUGGCAGAGAGAUCUUGGUAGACUUGUUAGGAUAUAAAGGACGUUUUGUUCGACUGUUAGUUCCCUACCCUCUCAUCCAGUUUCUGAUUCUCAUACAUUUAUUAUUCUUUUUCCCGCCUCAAUCUAACGAAUAUGUAAAAUAUCGAGCGUGGGCUUGAAACAAUUGAGCAAAUCUCUCCUAUAUAUUUUAUUCUUCAUCGUCCCGAAAUUCUCAUUGUUUAAUUGCUGUCAUAUCUUUAUCAAUGAAAGGAUGGUCCACAUAUUUUCUUCACGCAGAGUGGGGACUAUUCUAAGCUAGAAAAUGUGUCAUUCUUAGACAAAUGGGACCUGUUUUUUGUAAUGUCAAAUGCCCCGGUCACUUCUGAAGAUGAUGAAUUAUGCAGUGCCCGCUAGAUGUUACAUUCGCUAGUUGCUUGCCUGUGUGCCCACUUUGGAUAAUCUCUUCUAUGCAGUGCCCGCUAGAUGGUAGUCUUAAUUUAGGAAAAUGAUUGUCCAAAUUUUGUAUAAGCCUUUUGAAAAGAAAUGGCAUUCGCCUGAAAGAUUUUAUUUAUUUUUUAAUAAAUUUAUACAUUUUAAAUUUAUAUCUAACAUUAAAUGGCAACAUCAGCAUGGUCAAGAACUGUUAGGCAAGUGUGUGAGUACGGUAUUUAAUGGGUUUGGCACAAUGAAUUCAAUGUUCCAUAGAAUAGGUUGGUAAAGGAAAUUAUGGUUAUGGGUUUUCGGACCCUUGACCCUUGUCAUCCUGCCUACUGGUUUAAUCUUGUACGCGUGGCUGCUUUCUUAACAUCGCUCGAUGUAAGCCAGCCUUAAGUAUCUUCAUCAUUUUCCAUCGAUGAUGAUGAACAUACACAUCAAGUGUGGGUGGUGUGUCAAUUGUCACUUCCUUCGUCAUCAAACAAAAAGGUAGGCAAAAAGAUGAUAAUCUCCGUAUUAUGCUCCACCCAUUACCCGCUUCUCUCUAUCACAUUAAAUGCACUCAACAGCUACUGAAAACCAACCCCUUCCUGUGAUAUCAUUACUUCAGAAAACCCCAACUACUCGUGUAUUAGUUUCUCUGACUAGAAAUAAAGGCUGGCCAUAUAACUUCUCCAUGGAGAUAUCAGGGUUUAACUUGUGUCUGAACGGCCAUGCCUCUCACUGAGAUGGCCUCGGUAUUCAAGUUUCCUUACCAAAGACUUGGAAAUGAAGGUGGCUUUGAAGAUUAUGAAGAAAGAGAGAGGGUGGUUUUGAGAUCGAGGGCUUGGUGCAGGUUCAAAAGGGUGUCCAUAAGGAGGAGGUUCAAGCUUAAGGUCCCAAACUUGAGGAAGUUCUUGAGGAGGAAAGCUAGGCUGCUCUCUGCAUUCAGAGUGUCAUGUUCAUGGGCUAAGGUGCUGAAGAGAUUGAAGGAAAGUCAGGCUCAUUUUGGUGAUAUUUUUGCUGGAAACUACCUGUUCAUUCAAGUCAACCCAACCUCAUUGACAUGCCUUAAAAGGGAUCGUGAUGUUUGUGGCCUGUCCUCGAGGUACUCUCUUCCAAGAAUUGCUUAAUCGUGCUAUCGAUCGCUCACUGUAUUUGCAUUCUUGCACAUCUGAGAUGUGAAUAAUGCUUAACAUGGGAAGGGAACCACUCCACAUGUGAAACUUCUUUAAUGCUGCAAUAAAGUUAUUUCAGAAGCAUAGUAUGAAAGUUUUUUUUUUUUCUCCUUCCCAAACCAGCGGUGAAAUACCAAUACCCUACAAUGCAUUUUGUAUUGUA